UCUGUUCAUUGUGUGGGAUUGGUCUCUGCUGCCCCUUUCAGGGAACAUCUGUAAACGCAUCACAUCUGUAAAAAAAGGCAGGAAGGUUUAUCUGCUGGACCAAGAAGUUGUCCUGAAUUUCCUCACCUCUCCAGAUGCCUCGUGUUUGACAGCUUCUGCUCCUGGCCAGCCACAGCUUGUGUUCUCUGGCCACCUGGGACCUGAUCUCCUUCCUCUGACACUUCCACAGAGAGCAGCUGGUGGGAGAGACUUUCUGGACAAGCACAAUCAAACAAAAUGAAUCAGAAUAAACAGAACUAGUGUUCAUUCUUAAUCUUAA